rnacentral:lncRNA from 1 species
UAACUUUGUUUUAUCUCAUUCAGUUUCUUUGUUUUUUUUUGUUUUCUUACAUGAAAAAAUGCAUAUUUUUUUGGUGGUUUUUAAGUUAUAAUUGUGAGUAUUUUCUUUGUUCUCUUGAUUAAAGAAUUAUGGUGUGAUGUGAUUGAUUCUUUUUGUGCUUUCUUAGUAUGUAUGUAGGACUAAACUCUAAAUUGUACAUUAUUUGUGAUAGAUCAAUUAACCUUGUGAGAUUUUGAGCCUUUUAAUGGAUAAUAUUCAAAAAUUCAUAUCAUUCUUUCUUGUAUGAUUUCA